rnacentral:rRNA from 1 species
UACGGAGGAUGCAAGCGUUAUCCGGAUUUAUUGGGUUUAAAGGGUGCGUAGGCGGAUAAAUAAGUCAGUGGUGAAAGCCUGCAGCUUAACUGUAGAAUUGCCAUUGAUACUGUUUGUCUUGAGUACAGUUGAGGUGGGCGGAAUAUGGCAUGUAGCGGUGAAAUGCUUAGAUAUGCCAUAGAACACCGAUUGCGAAGGCAGCUCACUAAACUGUCACUGACGCUGAGGCACGAAAGCGUGGGUAGCAAACAGG